rnacentral:rRNA from 1 species
UACGUAGGGGGCAAGCGUUGUCCGGAAUCAUUGGGCGUAAAGAGCGUGUAGGCGGCUCGGUAAGUCCGCUGUGAAAGUCCAGGGCUCAACCCUGGAAUGCCGGUGGAAACUGUCGAGCUAGAGUCCGGAAGAGGCGAGUGGAAUUCCUGGUGUAGCGGUGAAAUGCGUAGAUAUCGGGAGGAACACCAGUGGCGAAGGCGGCGACCUGGACGGACACUGACGCUGAGACGCGAAAGCGUGGGGAGCAAACAGG